rnacentral:rRNA from 1 species
CACGUAGGGCGCAAGCGUUGUCCGGAAUUAUUGGGCGUAAAGAGCUCGUAGGCGGUUUGUUGCGUCGGCUGUGAAAUCCCGAGGCUCAACCUCGGGUCUGCAGUCGAUACGAGCAAACUAGAGUGUUGCAGGGGAGACUGGAAUUCCUGGUGUAGCGGUGAAAUGCGCAGAUAUCAGGAGGAACACCGGUGGCGAAAGCGGCUCUCUGGCCCGGAUCUGACGCUGAGGCGCGAAAGUGUGGGGAGCGAACAGG